CAGGUGCUGCAUGGCUGUCGUCAGCUCGUGUCGUGAGAUGUUGGGUUAAGUCCCGCAACGAGCGCAACCCUUGUCUUUAGUUGCUACGCAAGAGCACUCUAAAGAGACUGCCGGUGACAAACCGGAGGAAGGUGGGGAUGACGUCAAGUCCUCAUGGCCCUUAUGGGUAGGGCUUCACACGUCAUACAAUGGUGCAUACAGAGGGUUGCCAACCCGCGAGGGGGAGCUAAUCUCAGAAAAUGCAUCGUAGUCCGGAUCGUAGUCUGCAACUCGACUACGUGAAGCUGGAAUCGCUAGUAAUCGCGGAUCAGAAUGUCGCGGUGAAUACGUUCCC
rnacentral:rRNA from 1 species